UAUAUGAUGUUGCCAGGAUUACCUUCCUAA
rnacentral:piRNA from 1 species